rnacentral:rRNA from 1 species
UACGGAGGGGGCUAGCGUUGUUCGGAAUUACUGGGCGUAAAGCGCGCGUAGUCGGCUUUGUAAGUUAGAGGUGAAAGCCCGGAGCUCAACUCCGGAACUGCCUUUAAGACUGCAUCGCUAGAAUUGUGGAGAGGUGAGUGGAAUUCCGAGUGUAGAGGUGAAAUUCGUAGAUAUUCGGAAGAACACCAGUGGCGAAGGCGACUCACUGGACACAUAUUGACGCUGAGGUGCGAAAGCGUGGGGAGCAAACAGG